rnacentral:rRNA from 1 species
GGAUGAACGCUGGCUGUGUGCCUAAUACAUGCAUGUCGAGCGGAGUUCUUCGGAACUUAGCGGCGAAUGGGUGAGUAACACGUACUUAACGUACCUUUUAGAUUGGGACAACGAUGAGAAAUUAUCGCUAAUACCGGAUACUUAUAAGGAAGGCAUCUUYCUUAUAUAAAAGGAGCUUUCAAGCUCCACUAAAAGAUCGGGGUGCGGAACAUUAGCUAGUUGGUGAGGUAAUGGCUCACCAAGGCUAUGAUGUUUAACGGGGUUGAGAGACUGAUCCGUCACACUGGGACUGAGAUACGGCCCAGACUCCUACGGGAGGCAGCAGUAGGGAAUUUUCCACAAUGGACGAAAGUCUGAUGGAGCGACACAGCGUGCAGGAUGAAGGCCUUCGGGUUGUAAACUGCUGUUAUUUAGGAUGAAAAAAUAGUAGAGGAAAUGCUAUUAUCUUGACAGUACUAAAUCASAAAGCAACGGCUAACUAUGUGCCAGCAGCCGCGGUAAUACAUAGGUUGCAAGCGUUAUCCGGAAUUAUUGGGCGUAAAGCGUCUGUAGGUUGUUUGUUAAGUCUGGCGUCAAAACUUGGGGCUCAACCCCAAAUCGCGUUGGAUACUGGCAAACUAGAAUUGUGUAGAGGUUAACGGAAUUCCUUGUGAAGCGGUGAAAUGCGUAGAUAUAAGGAAGAACAYCAACUUGGCGAAGGCAGUUAACUGGGCACAUAUUGACACUGAGAGACGAAAGCGUGGGGAGCAAACAGGAUUAGAUACCCUGGUAGUCCACGCCGUAAACGAUGAUGAUUAGCUGAUGGGAACCAUCGGCGCAGCUAACGCAUUAAAUCAUCCGCCUGAGUAGUAUGCUCGCAAGAGUGAAACUUAAAGGAAUUGACGGGGAUCCGCACAAGCGGUGGAGCAUGUGGUUUAAUUUGAAGAUACGCGUAGAACCUUACCCACUCUUGACAUCUUCUGCAAAGCUAUAGAGAUAUAGUGGAGGUUAACAGAAUGACAGAUGGUGCAUGGUUGUCGUCAGCUCGUGUCGUGAGAUGUUCGGUUAAGUCCUGCAACGAGCGCAACCCUUAUCCUUAAUUAAAUACCUUAAGGAGACUGCCCGGGUAACUGGGAGGAAGGUGGGGACGACGUCAAAUCAUCAUGCCUCUUACGAGUGGGGCAACACACGUGCUACAAUGGAAGGUACAAAGAGAAGCAAUAUGGCGACAUGGAGCAAAUCUCAAAAAACCUUUCUCAGUUCGGAUUGUAGUCUGCAACUCGACUACAUGAAGUCGGAAUCGCUAGUAAUCGUAGAUCAGCUACGCUACGGUGAAUACGUUCUCGGGUCUUGUACACACCGCCCGUCACACCAUGGGAGCUGGUAAUGCCCGAAGUCGGUUUAGUCAACUACGGAGACAACUGCCUAAGGCAGGACUGGUGACUGGGGUGAAGUCGUAACAAGGUAUCCCUACGAGAAC